rnacentral:misc_RNA from 1 species
UAUUAUUAUUAUUAUUAUUUUGGGUUCUUUAUAAGGUGUACUCAUGUUGAGUAUAGGUUCUUGUGACCAAUUAAUGCUUUGUCCUUGGAUGUAAAAUAUAUGACAAUUCAUUAUGAGGGCAAAAGGAGCCUUGGUGCUUAGGAAGUGGUAUAUUUUGACUUGCAAUGAUAAACAAGGGCGAUUUGCUGAAGUAUGGGAUGUUUUAGAGCUUAGAAUAUUUAUUUUGGUUUGUCAGGUAAUAUAAUGAAUUUAUUGAGCUUUAUUUGUUUGGCAAUAAUUUUCCUGGAGUUCUGUUCAUGAUAUUUCAGUGCUUGUGCAUGUUGGACAUGCAUCCUUACAUAAUUUUAUAAAUUUAUACACCUGUAUAAAUACAUUAUUAUUAUUAUUAUUAU